AACGCGAAGAACCUUACCAGGCCUUGACAUGCACUGGACCGGCGCUGAAAGGCGCUCUCCCCGCAAGGGGCCGGUGCACAGGUGCUGCAUGGCUGUCGUCAGCUCGUGUCGUGAGAUGUUGCGUUAAGUCGCGCAACGAGCGCAACCCCUGUCCUUAGUUGCCACCAUUCAGUUGGGCACUCUAGGGAGACAAACCCUCUUUGAGGGUGGGAAGGUGGGGAUGACGUCAAGUCAGGAUGGCCCUUACGGCCUGGGCUGCACACGUGCUACAAUGCCCGAUACAGAGGGAAGCAAGACCGCGAGGUGGAGCAAAUCCUCAAAAUCGGGCCCAGUUCAGAUUGUAGUCUGCAACUCGACUACAUGAAGCCGGAAUCGCUAGUAAUGGCGUAUCAGCUACGACGCCGUGAAUACGUUCCCGGGCCUUGUACACACCGGCUAC
rnacentral:rRNA from 1 species